rnacentral:lncRNA from 1 species
UUCUAUAGAAGUUUAGGGAAUGGAGGGGUUCCAGGGACAAUGGUGUUUUCAGUGGAUUUGGGAUCAAAUGGAGAUUCAAGAGUAGGGUGUUCAACAACGCCAACCUCAAACUUGUCAUCGUCCCAAAAAUCAAAGGUGAGAUAGGACUUUGGGAGAUCGGAAGGUGGAGGUUGGAAACUUGGAUCAAUGGCAAGGGGAUGGAGUCAAUGAGGGACAAUGAUUGGAAAAUUAGAGGAUAGAAUUUGGUAGGUGAUUUGUUGGAAUUAGAAGAAAAAGAUGACGAAGAAGAAAAACAAAGAAGAAAAGAAUGGAGAAGAUGAAGAAAAUGAUAAAGAGAAAAAAAACAAAAAGAAAAUAAAAAGAAAAUAAAGAAGCGAAAAUGUCAAUAUCUUAUAAGUUAGGAUGAUAAGUAGAAAAAAAAGUUAUUAUUGUUUAACAAACAAUAUUGUAUCCAUGUAUUUUUUAAAUAUAGAAGCCUAACAAAAUCAAAGCUUGAUAUGAGAACGAAAACCAAAACUAUAUUAUAUUUUAAGAGGAAAAAACAUGAUUUACCGGUUUUUUAAUUUUUAUUCAAUUUCAUCU